rnacentral:tRNA from 1 species
UGCAUCGGCCGGGAAUCGAACCCGGGCCGCCCGCGUAGCAGGCGAGCAUUCUACCACUAAACCACCGAUGG